GAUGAACGCUGGCGGCAUGCCUAAGACAUGCAAGUCGAACGAAGUGGUUUUAUGAAGGAAUGAGUGCUUGCACGAAUUUUGGAUUAAAGUUGCCACUUAGUGGCAGACGGGUGAGUAACACGUGGGUAACCUACCCUGAAGACUGGGAUAACUACUGGAAACGGUAGCUAAUACCGGAUAAUUCAUCUUUAGAUAACUAGAGGUGCUAAAAGGAGCGUAUGCUUCACUUCAGGAUGGGCUUGCGGUGUAUUAGCUAGUUGGUGAGGUAAGAGCUCACCAAGGCGAUGAUAGAUAGGCGGCCUUAACGGGUGGUCGCCCACACUGGGAUUGAGAUACGGCCCAGACUCCUACGGGAGGCAGCAGUCGAGAAUAGUCUACAAUGGCCGGAAGGCUGAUAGUGCGACGCCGCGUGAACGAGGGAGCCCUUCGGGGUGUAAAGUUCUUUUCUAUACGAGCAGUGCUAUAUAUAUGGAUAGUAUAUAUAGAGGGAU
rnacentral:rRNA from 1 species